rnacentral:ncRNA from 1 species
ACAAUUUGAAGAGUGGAUAAAACCAGAAGAUAUGGUAGACCCACAUUGAUUUUCUAGAUUAUAAAAAUUGCAUAUAAAAACAAAGUAUUUUGGCGAGACUCUUGAGGGAACAGGACAAGCUGAAGACUACAAGCUGAAGCUGUCCCCUAAGAAAGCGACCCAACAAUACGAAUUAUUGUAAAUAAACAAGCCAGUAA